rnacentral:rRNA from 1 species
UACGUAGGUGGCAAGCGUUGUCCGGAAUUAUUGGGCGUAAAGAGCGUGUAGGCGGCCAAACAGGUCCACUGUGAAAACUCGAGGCUCAACCUCGAGAGGUCGGUGGAAACCGUCUGGCUAGAGUCCGGAAGAGGAGAGUGGAAUUCCCGGUGUAGCGGUGAAAUGCGCAGAUAUCGGGAAGAACACCCGUGGCGAAGGCGGCUCUCUGGGACGGUACUGACGCUGAGACGCGAAAGCGUGGGGAGCGAACAGG